GUCAAGGUGCCAGAGUGGUUAAUGGGCUGCCCUGCUAUCAUACCUUUGAUAUCAAAUUAGGCAGUGGCUUCGGUCGCGCAGGUUCGAAUCCUGUCCUUGACG
rnacentral:tRNA from 1 species